GUGGACCUUGAACAAUGUUCCCAUCUAUUCCCGUUAGAGAUGUAAACACAAGACCCAAAGCUUAAGCUUUUGGAAUAUAGUUAGUUAGGUUUUUAUUAUUAUGCUUAUUUUGACUGCUGGAAUAUUAUGUUCAAAAUUACAUUUCUUUUAUUAUUUUGGUGUCUUGAUCUUAUUGAUGUAUUUUACAGACAUUGAUAUACUUUUAUGACCCUAUAGAGCUGGAACAAGAUCAACUAAUUGAAGGUUCAGUGACAUUGUCACAAAGCAAAGAAAAUGCUCGAUUUAUGAAUAUUCACCUUGAAUAUACUUCAGGUGGUCGAUCGUAUGUGAAAGAGUCUGUUAUGAGAUGAUGAUCUUUUCACUUGCACAACAUCCUCGCACUGCAGCUUAUAUCUUUUCUGACUUCGUUUCUCCUAUAGAACUGAGGUAGCAGUUUGGUUCUUGAGAAUCACUAAUCUCUGCUUGCUAGAUUAGAAUGGAGCAACUGACGAACUUGUUAGCAUAGAGUUAGGUAAAUGACAUGAAAUUUUGUUGUAAUUUAUUUGAUACCAAAUACAUCAUUGAGGCGGAUUAUUUAUGUCAUAAUUUGUCCUUUCUAAAGCCUUUAUUGUGGGGCCGACUCGUUUCAA